rnacentral:rRNA from 1 species
AUUGAACGCUGGCGGAAUGCUUUACACAUGCAAGUCGAACGGCAGCACGGACUUCGGUCUGGUGGCGAGUGGCGAACGGGUGAGUAAUGUAUCGGAACGUGCCCAGUCGUGGGGGAUAACGUAGUGAAAAUUACGCUAAUACCGCAUACGAUCUAUGGAUGAAAGCGGGGGAUCGCAAGACCUCGCGCGAUUGGAGCGGCCGAUAUCAGAUUAGGUAGUUGGUGGGGUAAAGGCCCACCAAGCCAACGAUCUGUAGCUGGUCUGAGAGGACGACCAGCCACACUGGAACUGAGACACGGUCCAGACUCCUACGGGAGGCAGCAGUGGGGAAUUGUGGACAAUGGGCGAAAGCCUGAUCCAGCCAUUCCGCGUGCAGGAUGAAGGCCCUCGGGUUGUAAACUGCUUUCGUACAGAACGAAAAGGUUUCUACUAAUACUAGGAGCUCAUGACGGUACUGUAAGAAUAAGCACCGGCUAACUACGUGCCAGCCGCCGCAGUAA